UAAGAAAUGUCGAUUUUACAUAAGAAUUAUCGAAAGCUAAAAUUAUUUACAGUCUAAAAAUACAAGACAUUGUUUUCAUAAUCCAUGUGUUAAAAGUGUCAGUUAUAUUCACCAUAUGCAUUUUGUCGGGAUACUUCAAUGAGCUCGCUAGCGAUAUUCAAUCGUAAAUUGACAUUCCAUUAAUCACGUUAAUCCAUCAUUUAAUUGCCUUAGACAAACAUAUUCGAUAUAAUAUGUUUAAAAUAAUAUAUAUAUAAGUCUCCGAAAUACUUCACCCAAAUAUCAUCCACCCACGCCAGCCUAAUAAUUUCCUUUUUUUUUAAUGGAAAUACCAACAAAUAUUUUACUCUUCCGCUUAGAAAAUAUAAAUUAGACGGAUAAUUAUGAGUACAAUUAAGACAAUUUACGCGUAUAAUUAAAAACAGUUACCCCCUUUUUAAUACUUGCUGAAGAUAACGAUGAAACUCGGCUAUAUAAUCAAACACUGCGACUUACUUUUCUGUGACGUCAUAUUUUGCCAAAUGAUGGGGUAAGGUUCUCUCGCAAUCGGCUCUUAAAUCUUUUUUCCUUUGAAAUUCUGGCUUCGAUGUGCGGCCAUGUACAGUUAAUUUCUGCGUUGAUCUGAAGGAAUAUUUCUUACUAUGUCCUUUUUUUCUAUUGGCAGCUGUCGGUAGUCUAUUAUGCCAUUCAUAUCUGUCCUGCGAUUUUCUAAACACACAGUGACUGAUAAAAAUGGCAGGACGAUCUACCCUUUCCAAGAUCGGCAAGAAUGACUGUUUCUUGAAAACUGGUGUAAACUACGUGCAGAGAUAUGUGUAUUGAUGAACGAUCAGCGAAUACAGAGAGUUUAAGAGCGCGUACAAAAGUUUUAAUAAAAUCCACCCACUUUAAAAAUGCAUGAUGCACGUGGGUUGGUAUACAGGAAGUAAACACAAAUGAACGUGUCCGCACGGAAAAAAAAGACGAUGAUAAUAGAAUAUGAAAACGUGUAAUGUCAUGCAAAAUAAAAGAAAUGAAGUACAUAGUAAAUUUCCUUAAUUGAAAACUUUUGCAAGUACACAUACUAGAAAAACACUUCGAACGGUGUUACGUGAAUUACCUAUAGGAAAAAAGGAAUAAAUAUCAAGUGACAUAUCACGCUGUUUCAAAGCAAACCAAGACCCAUUUAUUAAACAGAGAACAGUCUAUAUAAACAAAAAGGUCAAGCUGUUUCGAAUAUAUGAAUGCAGUAUGGUAAAUAACGAUAAGAUAAAUGUACCUUUCUAGAAAAUACGACUGAAGAGCGACCCGAGACAGCAAAUCCCAUUCGACAGUCCCUGCUAUUCAAAACGAGGCAGCGACUGACGGAUAGGGCAUGCCGUCCCGUGUGUAAGUAACAAAUGAAAAGGAAGAGUGAAAGAAGAGUCAAUCAUGUCAUAUAAUGUGAGAUGAUAUCUUUAAUUAUUCAGAUUCCCGGAACUUUCUAACAUUGCAUUUUAAACCCCUACCGGACAUUUUACAUUGUAUGUUAUGCAUACCCCACGCCAAGAUGAGGAAGAAUACAAGAUGCGGAAAAUCAUCAUUAUUAAUGUUUCUUCUUCGCUAUCGUUUGUUCCUCAAUACCUUCGUAGAAUACUACAAUUAACGCACGUUUAUAGCAUUUCGCGUAAUAAUAUUUUUUAACCAAUGACAUGCUCACCUUUAGAAAAUAACCUAAGGGUUGAGAUGACAAUUGUUUUCAAAGAAAGAAAAUGCCAAUGUCAGGCCUACAUACAUACAUGUACUGCAUGAAUGUAGCGAUUAAGAGGAAUGAGACUGAAGAAGAAAUAUCAAAGCAAGGCAUUAAGAUAGUGAUAUACAGAUUAUAAAUUAUAUCAGUUUUCUGGUUACAUUGCAAAAAAGAAUCGCAUACAAAGCACGAUAGAAACAUCAAAAUACGCGUUAAAGUCUGAUAAAUUCCGCGAACUAGUUAGUAUGAUACGUACAUGUACCACAAAAUCAUUGAUACGUGAAACAAAUCGAAAAUUCUGAAACAUGUUAGCAUAUUGAUUUUUGAAAAGUAAGGCAAAGUCAGGUGAUGUCGCUGAUAUAUAGUUAUAUACUAUAUGUAAUUGUCUAUAGAGAACUCUAAAAUCACCCAGUCUGUUGAGUUAAAAGCAACUAAAAACUAACAGCAGAGAAAGAGAGAGAGAGAGAGAGAGAGAGAGAGAGAGAGAGAGAGAGAUGUCCAUACAUCACAUGAUAUUAUAAUGUUCAAAGUUCACAUGGGUAAAACCCCCUUCUCAGCACAUAAAAAAAUCCCAUGAGGUAUUUUCGUGCAGAGCUGAGUAGUUUUCAUGUGACCUAGCCAGGAAAUAUAUCAUCUGUGCACAGUCACCGUGAAAGAAAAAAAAUAAGCGUAGGAAGAAACUCUCUAAUUCAAAAAAUAACAUUUUGACUUUGAGGCUACAUAUACAUGAUUAAAAAUCUAAUAAAUUAAUACUACUGUAAAGCCUAUUAAUUCAUUGAUGAAGCGUAAGGUGCGCCAUUUUUUGUACUCCUAACACGGUAGUUUUAUCAUUAAGGUAGUUUAUUUACAAGGAAAUUCUAUAAAGGAUUGUCCACUUUUAUAGUAUUACGCACUUUCUAAGUGUGGAACGGAAACCGCUAACAUCCCGUGCUCUCGCGAGAUCACACAAUGACGGACUGCGACAUGUUUGUGCACACAUGGGAGAGGAACGCCAACCAUGUCAACAAUGUGGAUCUACAGGUUUCCACACGCAUAAACAACAUUCCUUCCACGUAAAGUUCUCUGGCGCUUCCUUAGAAAAAUAUCCACAAUGUUAGCAUGGACAAAUUGAUCCUUUGAAAAAAAAAAUAUUAAAUCGUCAGGAAAGUAAAAAAAAAACUCUUAACUUUUGACUUUGUGCAGCACAAACUGAACAAGCAAAUGAAACUGAAUUUGGAAAACGGAUACAUCCCUUGCCUCUUCCGUUCAAAGGAGUUACUUGCGUCACCUGUGACGUAUUUUGCCCGAUAAGAGCCUUAACAGGAACAUGUGUUGUCCUGCGAGAAGGAUAUCCCUAACGUACUGUUUCCAUCACAAAAACGAUGACAAUAGCCAAUAGUAAAAGUCACUGCAAAAGUUUGCAACUGGCCCACUAUUUUUCAUUCAUAAAGUUGAAAUGACCGCGGAAGUAGUGGGAAUUUUAUUGGAGGAAGCGAUUAUCAUUUGAGCAAAAUACGCCGGACACUUGUGGAAACACUUGAAGCAAUUAGCUAAGCCUUUGUGUAACUGCAUUUGAAAGAUAUCGCACGCAACAUCAUUCAAGCAUAUCUUAUAAAGCUACGAAUAUUCUCACUUAACAAUACAUUUCCGAAUUGGGUUUCUUUGUUUUUUGUAUGCAUUUUAUUAGUUUUGUAUGAGGGCCUUUGUGAGGAUAUAGUGUAUCUCCUUCAUACAUUAUUUAUUAUGUAUUGAAUGGGAAGUAUGAACAUUUAUGAGAUGUACAGCAAUAUCUGAAUGAUAGAAAAAGGUCUUAAUCAAUGUAUCUUCUUCCCACAUCAACUGCACUCAAGUCUCUUAACAAAACAGCGGAUCAUGAUCACAUAUGUCUGACACAGAAUUGUUGACUUCUUAUUUUUACAAAGAGCAAAAAUCUCCUUUCAAAAGAGAAUGUGCGUGUUAGAAGACUUUUAAGUCAUUUAUAAUUAAUGAAGGAAAAUUUUGUUAAUUAAAAAAUACAGUCAUAUUAGGAAAUCUGUAGAUUUCACCUAUUGUUAAAAAUCUAUAAUUAAUGAUAUCAUAGAUUUUUUUUAUACAUUUAACCAACUAUCUCCCUUCCCUUAAUCUCAGAUUUUGAUUGGAGUAUUUCACAAUGCAAAUCCUCGUGAAAUUAUGAAAUGAUUACAUGUAUGUGUCUAAUACAAUGCACUUCUAACAUGUUUAAAGUUGUAUUUCACAAAACCGUGCCUUAAGCUUAACUUAACAGUGUUUUAAUGUACUUGUGUAUUGUCAUGUUGUAAAUUUUGAAUUAACCGGGUGGCAGUAAGUACAAAUUUUUCAACAUGUCAUGUUGUAAAUUUUGUAUUUACUGCCACUCGGUAAAUUCGAAAAUUACAUGACAGUAUUACAAUGUUAUACAUCUAAAAGAAUAAACAGUUUUGAACACGUUGGUUGUUUAAUUGAUUGUAUUUGCAUUUGAUGUUUAGCACGUCACGUAUGAAAUGGUGGGUGUCCAUUCAAUUCCUUUGUCAUUUAGUUACACUUUAUGAAUAUCAUUGAUCUGGGAAAGAGAAAUUGCUGAUAUAACAGACUAAAUUUAUGAACCAGGACCAUUACUUCCGGGAAAAAUGUUCAUUUUUCAUUAUAUAAGAUAGUAACAAAUUUUCUUUGA